rnacentral:snoRNA from 1 species
ACAGACCCUGUUGCAGGUGUGGCUGCUGUGUUACACAUGCAUUAGUAGGUGGCAGCAAGGAGAGGGACUAUGUCUACACUCAGCAUUCUGACCUGUGAACAUCUGAAUAAUUAAUUAGUACUCUAACAUU